rnacentral:ncRNA from 1 species
UUGAGUUGACUUUAUUUUAAUUAUUGUAAUUUUUUUAAUUGAGUGGACUUUAUUUAUUUUUAAAUAUAGCUUAUCUAACAUAACAUAACACCUCAACAUAUCCUCCAUAUUGGGCUGUAAAGAACCUCACUACUCUUGGUACAUCAUGAUAGAUAUCCAAUCUUGCUAUGAUAAAUGACCUUAUGGGAUGUUUACAAAUAUGUUACUAUGUUAAUUUUCAUUUUAAGUUGUCUUGGUUGUAUAUAGCAAACAAUGUCUAGCUAGAAUGGGAUUUUAGUUAUAGAGGAUUACAAAGUAAAUGCAAAUUUGUAAUUCUUCAACAUGUUUGCCUUCUUUGCUUGUGGUUAUUCUUAGUUGCUGGAGCAAUUUGUCUUGUUAAUUAUGUUAACAAAUGAGACCUCAACCUGCUAACUAGCUACAUGGAGCUCCUCCUUUGUGACCAACUCCUUAGAGGGGCUAGAUGGUCAUUUAAGCCAUGGAAGUUUGACGCAAUAAUAGGUUUGUGAUGCCCUUAUAUGUUAUGAGCUGCGCAUAUAGUACAUUGAUGUAGUGAAAGACUCACCAUGGAAUUUUUAGGCAAUAACAGGUCUUUGAUGCCCUUAGAUGUUCUAGGUUGCACACACGCUACACUGAUGUAGUGAAAGAGUUGUUCUCCCUAUUUGAGAGGACUACAAAAUAUUCUCAAAUUGCAUCUUGAUGGGGAUAGACCAUUGCAAUUAUUGAUCAUCAAUGAGAAAAUCCUUGUGAGCACAUGUCAACAUCUUAUGUUUCCUACGUCCAUGCCCUUUAUACACAUCGCCUGACACUCCUACCAAUCAAAG